GACGAACGCUGGCGGCGUGCUUAACACAUGCAAGUCGAACGCUGAAGACCUGGCUUUUGUUGGGUUGGAUGAGUGGCGAACGGGUGAGUAACACGUGAGUAACCUGCCCCCUUCUUUGGGAUAACGCCCGGAAACGGGUGCUAAUACUGGAUAUUCACUGGCCUUCGCAUGGGGGUUGGUGGAAAGGUUUUUUCUGGUGGGGGAUGGGCUCGCGGCCUAUCAGCUUGUUGGUGGGGUGAUGGCCUACCAAGGCUUUGACGGGUAGCCGGCCUGAGAGGGUGACCGGUCACAUUGGGACUGAGAUACGGCCCAGACUCCUACGGGAGGCAGCAGUGGGGAAUAUUGCACAAUGGGCGAAAGCCUGAUGCAGCGACACCGCGUGAGUGAAGAAGGUUUUCGGAUCGUAAAGCUCUGUUGUAAGUCAAGAACGAGUGUGAGAGUGGAAAGUUCACACUGUGACGGUAUCUUACCAGAAAGGGACGGCUAACUACGUGCCAGCAACCGCGGUAAUACGUAGGUCCCGAGCGCUGUCCCGAUUUAUUGGGGCGUAAAGCGAGCGCAGGCGUUUGAUAAUUCUGUAGAUAAAAGCUGUGGGCAACCAUAGAUCGCUUUGGAAACUCUCAAACUUCUAUGCAAAAGGGAGAGUGGAAGACCACGUGUGGCGGUGAAAUCGGAUAUACAUGGAC
rnacentral:rRNA from 1 species